rnacentral:rRNA from 1 species
ACGGGAGGCAGCAGUGAGGAAUAUUGGUCAAUGGUCGGAAGACUGAACCAGCCAAGUCGCGUGCAGGAAGACGGUCCUAUGGAUUGUAAACUGCUUUUGUACGGGAAUAAAGUGGGGGACGUGUCCCCCUUGGAAUGUACCGUAAGAAUAAGGGUCGGCUAACUCCGUGCCAGCAGCCGCGGUAAUACGGAGGACCCGAGCGUUAUCCGGAUUUAUUGGGUUUAAAGGGUGCGUAGGCGGAUGAUUAAGUCUGUGGUGAAAGCGUGCGGCUCAACCGUACCGAGCCAUGGAAACUGGUUGUCUUGAGUGUAAACGAGGUAGGCGGAAUGUGACAUGUAGCGGUGAAAUGCUUAGAUAUGUCACAGAACUCCGAUUGCGAAGGCAGCUUACCAGCAUACAACUGACGCUGAGGCACGAAAGCGUGGGUAUCAAACAGGAUUAGAUACCCUGGUA